rnacentral:rRNA from 1 species
GAUGAACGCUGGCGGCGUGCUUAACACAUGCAAGUCGAACGGAAAGGCCCAAGCUUGCUUGGGUACUCGAGUGGCGAACGGGUGAGUAACACGUGGGUGAUCUGCCCUGCACUUCGGGAUAAGCCUGGGAAACUGGGUCUAAUACCGGAUAGGACCACUUCUUGGAUGUUGUGGUGGAAAGUUUUUUCGGUGUGGGAUGAGCUCGCGGCCUAUCAGCUUGUUGGUGGGGUAAUGGCCUACCAAGGCGUCGACGGGUAGCCGGCCUGAGAGGGUGUACGGCCACAUUGGGACUGAGAUACGGCCCAGACUCCUACGGGAGGCAGCAGUGGGGAAUAUUGCACAAUGGGCGCAAGCCUGAUGCAGCGACGCCGCGUGGGGGAUGACGGCCUUCGGGUUGUAAACUCCUUUCGCUAGGGACGAAGCGUUUUGUGACGGUACCUGGAGAAGAGGCACCGGCUAACUACGUG